CGGGGUGUAGCGCAGCCUGGUAGCGCGUCUGGUUUGGGUCCAGAAGGUCGAGAGUUCGAAUCUCUCCACCCCGA
rnacentral:tRNA from 1 species